rnacentral:lncRNA from 1 species
CAAGACCAGGACCUCUCUCUGGCCUUGGAACCCUUGGGACUGGAAGAGAAUUAAGUCAGGUGGGAGUCACAUGCUUAAUCAUAAGGCUAUUUUUUAUGCCCUGGCCGUAUUUCAGUCCCUGGCAGAGAUAGAGUCUACCUAUAAUUCAAACAUCUUGGACCCAGUAACCGCUCUGCUGAUGCGUGCCUCAAGUCCUGACAGCUGUGUAUGAACUAAGAUGCAUCUAUUCAGGCCUCUCUUUUCCAUGACGUAUCCUUGCAUCUGAACAAGCACGUGUGGUGCCUGCUGGAAAUCCAGCCACUCCAAGGAAGAGAGCAGGCUGUGUUCUCACGUGGUAUGCAGACACACACAAGUGUGCUGGAAAAGGAAACGUGAGACUAUGAAAACCAGACCGGCCCUGGAGAGCCAGCUGUGAGAGACAAGGAGACAGGCCUAAGGCAAGCCACUCCCCGCCAGCCUGCGUCAGCAGGCCGCAGGCACCCUUGCUUGUUCCUGCAGGAAACUCAAGGGGGCAUCGCAGCUAACUAUGGCUAGUGCAGCCCUCAGGCUGGCCAGCAACGCGACUGCCAGGCCCGGCAGGCCAAGCAAAGCCUCGGCUGCCAGCAGCCAUGCAGAUGGUAAUGAUUAACCCGAAAGUCAAACUAUGGAAAGUUCCAAGGGCCAGGAGAGUCCUUUGUUGCAUAAUAAACAUACCAAGCCCUCCCUGCUACCUUGGGGCAUUUUGUUCUGUAUCGUGUCUGCUUUUGCAACUCUUCCUUUCUGCUUGUAUCUGCCUGGAACCUCAUUUUAAAAACACAGGCUUAUGGCCAGGCGUGUGGCUCAUACCUAUAACCUCAGCACUUUGGGAGGCCAACGAGGGCGGAUCACCUGAGGUCAGAAGUUCAAGACCAGCCUGCCUG